UACGUAGGGGGCAAGCGUUGUCCGGAUUUAUUGGGCGUAAAGAGCGUGUAGGCGGCCAGGUAGGUCUGGUGUGAAAACUCGAGGCUCAACCUCGAGAGGUCAUCGGAAACCAUCUGGCUAGAGUCCGGAAGAGGAGAGUGGAAUUCCCGGUGUAGCGGUGAAAUGCGCAGAUAUCGGGAAGAACACCUAUGGCGAAGGCAGCUCUCUGGGACGGUACUGACGCUGAGGUGCGAAAGCGUGGGGAGCGAACGGG
rnacentral:rRNA from 1 species